CGGUAAUCUCACGGCCGCCAGUCUACCAAGGACAAUAUUUCAUUGCUUCAUUACACCGAAGGCAACGAUUGUUUGCAGUUGUCGAUAUUAUGAUGCGUAAUUAACAACGAGGGAUUUUAGUUUAUUUUUGUUUAAGUAAAAAAAUCAGGGCUAAACAGAAAUGCAAAUGUUCAUCGCAUUUCUUUUCGUGGCAUUGGUCAAGUCUCUAUAUGCAUCCUCAAUAACGAUUAAUGGUAACUUUUUGGAGAAGCACUUAGCAGAACUGUCGAAUCAACCUACGAGAAGCGCAGUCUUCAAACUUCAGACAGAUAUAAAAAAGAAACAUCCUCAGAGAACAACAAAUCACAUAAUGUUUUCUAGCAAUUUGGAAAACUUGCGAAUAAGGUUUAAUAACAGCGUUGUACAAAAAUGUCCAAACCAAAUUGGAAUCGGGAACAACAGAAAUUGUACUGUUGACAGCUUACUCUUUGCGGAUGGGAUCGUUUGGUGUACGUGGCCAAGCCUUGUUGCCGCUGAACCAGACAAAUGUUACUACAUCAGGUCCUGUAGCAUCACAAUUAGUUUGCGUGGAAUUUCAAAUGAGAUUUUCCACUUGUUUCAAAUAAUUGAAUCAAGAGACUGCAAAUUAAGCACGAAGACAGAAUUGGAAGACCCACCAGGUGUUCGCCCAGCGAUAAGUGGGAGUAACAGUCUCCAGAGUAACUUCUUAAUUUCGAUCGCACUCGUCAGCAUCUAUGUUCUGACGCUCAUGGAAUCUAGCAUAGGAUGAAACGUGCAAUGGUCCAGCAUACACAUUGUUAUUAUAUGUGCUGCUGUUGGCGGAGUUUCUAACCAGACUAUUAUUUUUAAAUGCAUAAACUUCUGCAUGUUUAUCUUGUUUUGUUUUAAUCGAAACCACGCUUACUAACGGUAUACUUUGGAGAAUACUCUAACAUUUAAUGUAAUGUUUAUAGUUAUUUAUUUGCAUCACGCUAUCGAAGGUUCAGAAUGAAUAGCGUGGUUCAAAAUGCAAGUACCUUCCAGUUAAGUUACCAUUAUAUGAUUAUUGUGAUUUAAUUGUUUGAGAUUUAUUAUGAAAGCCCUUAGGAAUCUUUAUAAUAUUUAAUAUUCUUAUGUUUUUACCAUUCGUCAAUGAAAUAAGAAUUAGUCAAAGUAAUGAGAACGUAUUUUACUAUACCUAGCCUACAAUCGGAAUUUGUUUAGUGUUGUAAAUAAGGACAUUAAACUAGACAGUGGAUAUUUCUUUCAGUCGAACAGGUUAUUUUCCAACAGGUAUACAACAGCGUAUCUGGCACGAGUGUAUCGGCUGUUAAUAACAAAAUGUCGCGGAACUACGAUUUUACUUUAAACAUUGUUUGUACAAUCUUUAUGACGACAAAUUUAUAGAGCAAGCGCAAAAUUGUCAUCUCUUAUUCAUGUCUUGUAUAUUAAUACAUAUUUUUUAUCAUUUUCAAAUAUGAAAAGAAGGAAUUAAAGACAACAGCUGCAAAAAGAUCAAUAAUAAAUUAUCAAGCUAUAUCAUUUGAUUAAAUUAAAUAGAUGCAUUUGGAAUAUUUGUUACGUUAGCAAAUCAAAAACUAAACUACUCGUUAUUUAUUAGCAAACAAUGUAUGAUAACUACUGCGCAGUUAGGAACACGUGAUGCAACAGGUUAAGUAAAAAUGACAUGUAUUAAAGUAUGUGCAUGAUAUAAUUGUCAUAGUUACCAGCUUUCAUUGUAAAUUUUAUUUAAUUUGUAUUUCAUUUAAUACGAAUUCCUUCUCUUUCAACACAUACAUCUUUUCGAUUGACGUUCUUAUGGCAUGAUCUGGAAAAAUCUGGUUGUUCUUUGAUUUAUUCCACGAAUAUUGAAAACGGAAAUGUAAAACGACCUAUGGUAUCAACGCUUAACUAUCGUGUUGUGAUACUAUCAAAUGCUUAACAAAUACAGAGCUAUACUUCUUAA